rnacentral:miRNA from 1 species
GCCUGCCUGCCUGCCUGCCUGCCAGUGUGGAUUUACAGUGGAGGGUGACAGACAGGCAGGCAGGCAGGC